rnacentral:rRNA from 1 species
AUUGAACGCUGGCGGCAGGCCUAACACAUGCAAGUCGAGCGAGCGGCGGACGGGUGCGUAAUGUCUGGGAAACUGCCUGAUGGAGGGGGAUAACUAAUGGACACGGUAGCUAAUACCGCAUACCAUCGGAUGUGCCCAGCUGGGAUUGUCUAGGAGGUGGGGUAAUGGCUCACCUAGGCGACGAUCCCUAGCUGGUCUGAGAGGAUGACAAGCCACACUGGAACUGGGACACGGUCCAGACUCCGACGGGAGGCAGCAGUGGGUAAGAUUGCACAAUGGGCGCAAUCCUGAGGCAGCCAUGCCGCGUGUGUGAAGAAGGCCUUCGGGUUGUAAAGCACUUUCAGCGGGGAGGCGUUACCCGCAGAAGAAGCACCGGCUAACUCCGUGCCAGCAGCCGCGGUAAUAC